rnacentral:lncRNA from 1 species
CAGCACUAAAGGAAGAAACAAAGUGUUAAAAGGAUUCUCAAAUGUAGUAUUGUGGCAGGUCGGGAUCAGAAAACCGAGGCACAGAGGACUUGCCCAUGGUACACAGAAGCCAUUACUUCAUAACUGUGUCGUUUACUGGAAAUGCCUGAAGAACCUUGGAGAAGAAUCAAAAACAACCAAAGAAAUAUUGUCAAUUUUUCCUGUGGUAUAAACUGAUGAAUUUUCUCAUUGAAGUGAGUCUUAAUUCUAUACUAGGCUAGAGAAAAAAAAAAGAGGUUAAUAUCAAUGCACCAAACCAUAAAACAAUAACUCUGGAAAAAAUGUAUCAAAGGCAGGACCCACUGUGGAAGUGAACAAAAGCAAAGCCUUAUUAAUAAUGGGCCAGUCCUAUGGAGAACCUGGGUGGGGAAACUGCUGUCUGGAAGUAGACUGUUCACUCAUGUGAAGUGAAUUAACAAUUCCUGGGCACCAGGGUACUAUUAGUGCAUUGAAACAACUUAUUUACUAUGGGCAUCCUGGUGCCCUGGCACACCCCACAUCACUAUAGGAUUGGGCAUAAUAAAAUCAUAUGGUGCCAAGAAGCCA